UACAGAGGGGGCCAGCGUUAUUCGGAAUUAUUGGGCGUAAAGGGCGCGUAGGCGGCCAACUAAGUCGGACGUGAAAUCCCUCAGCUUAACUGGGGAACUGCGUCCGAUACUGGAUGGCUCGAGUUUGGGAGAGGGAUGCGGAAUUCCAGGUGUAGCGGUGAAAUGCGUAGAUAUCUGGAGGAACACCGGUGGCGAAGGCGGCAUCCUGGACCAACACUGACACUGAGGAGCGAAAGCCAGGGGAGCAAACGGG
rnacentral:rRNA from 1 species